rnacentral:ncRNA from 1 species
UCGAACCCAGAGCUAGCUGGUUCUCCCUGAAAUGCAUUGAGGUGCAACAGCUGACUGGCCCAUCUAGGGGUAAAGAACUAUUUCAGUAUGGGCCACGAGAGUGGUACCAAAUUGAGGCAAACUAUGAAUACUAUAUUGCCCCAAUAAAAGGAUCAAGUUCUCUUGCACCGAAGAUGAACGAGACUAAGCGAUCUGCUGAAGUUGUGGGAUGUAAAAAUACAUCAGUAGGGGAGUGUUCCACCUCAGAGGGAAGCACCGACGCAAGCAGGUGUGGAUGAAGCAAAAGAGAGAAUGUUAUCUUGACUAAUGCAAACAUUGGUGAGAAUCCAAUGCCCUGAAAACCUAAGGGUUCCUCCACAAGGUUUGUCCAUAGAGGGUGAGUCAGGGCCUAAUAUCAAGCCUAAAGGCAUAGUCGAUGGACAACAGGUUAAUAUUCCUGUACUACCCCUUGUUGGUCUUGAGGGACGGAGGAGGCUAGGUUAGCCGAAAUAUGGUUAUUGGUUCAAGGAUGCAAGGUGACCCUCUAUACAUUGAUUCAAAGGUAAAAGAAGAAUCAAAUAUAGGUGUGUACAAGGUGAGGUUGGGGGUGGAUAUUCCUCAUCAUCUACUCUAGCACAAAAAAAUACAAGAUGGCUUAUCCAAACAUUAUAGGAUUCACAAAAUCACGUAGGAGAACCCAUAUCAUCAAUGAGGGUGAGUAUACCUCCUAGGAUAUAUGUUAACCAUAUUGUAUUAGAUUCUUCCAUUUGUGAUCUUUACAAU